rnacentral:piRNA from 1 species
UCCUGAUGUGCUUCUUGGUUAUCUCUACAGU